CCUUAGAUGGCGACCGGCGCACGGGUGAGUAACGCGUAUGCAACCUGCCUCAUACUCGGGGAUAGCCUUUCGAAAGAAAGAUUAAUAUCCGAUAGCAUAUAUUUCCCGCAUGGGUUUUAUAUUAAAGAAAUUCGGUAUGAGAUGGGGAUGCGUUCCAUUAGUUUGUUGGGGGGGUAACGGCCCACCAAGACUACGAUGGAUAGGGGUUCUGAGAGGAAGGUCCCCCACAUUGGAACUGAGACACGGUCCAA
rnacentral:rRNA from 1 species